rnacentral:rRNA from 1 species
UACAGAGGUCCCGAGCGUUGUUCGGAUUCAUUGGGCGUAAAGGGUGCGUAGGCGGCGCGGUAAGUCGGGUGUGAAAUCUCGGAGCUUAACUCCGAAACUGCAUUCGAUACUGGCGUGCUUGAGGACUGGAGAGGAGACUGGAAUUCUCGGUGUAGCGGUGAAAUGCGUAGAUAUCGAGAGGAACACCUGCGGCGAAGGCGGGUUGCUGGGCCGACACUGACGCUGAUGCGCGAAAGCCAGGGGAGCGAACGGG